GACGAACGCUGGCGGCGUGCUUAACACAUGCAAGUCGAACGGAAAGGCUCCAGCUUGCUGGAGUACUCGAGUGGCGAACGGGUGAGUAACACGUGGGUAAUCUGCCCUGCACUCUGGGAUAAGCCUGGGAAACUGGGUCUAAUCCUGGAUAUGACCUUUCUCCUUAUGGGGUUUGGUGGAAAGUUUUUCGGUGUAGGAUGAGCCCGCGGCCUAUCAGCUUGUUGGUGGGGUGAUGGCCUACCAAGGCGACGACGGGUAGCCGGCCUGAGAGGGUGAUCGGCGACAUGGGGACUGAGAGACGGCCCAGACUCCUACGGGAGGCAGCAGGGGGGAAUAUUGCACAAUGGGCGGAAGCCUGAUGCAGCGACGCCGCGUGAGGGAUGACGGCCUGCGGGUUGUAAACCUCUUGCAGCAGGGACGAAGCGUAAGUGACGGUACCUGCAGAAGAAGCACCGGCUAACUACGUG
rnacentral:rRNA from 1 species